rnacentral:rRNA from 2 species
GAACAACUCUCAGCAACGGAUAUCUUGGCUCCUGCAAC